AUUUCUUUUAAAGAUACGGUCAGGAAAUACUUCAAACGCAAAAAAAAAAAUAAAAAAAAAAUAAAAAAAGAGUUAUUAGUAAAAAGAAUUAAAGUCUGACCCUGAAUGAAUUUAGAAAGUUUAUGCUCACCCUCAACUCGAAUAGUUCUUGAGAUUUGCAGGUUACUAAAAAUCAAUUGAUUAACAAAGUCAAAUGGAGAUUGUGGCAUUGAAAUGAGUUUCCAUUCCAUGAUUUGCUCCCAGCUCGCUAUCGAUCUCUUCUCUUGUGUUCUCCAUUUCUUUACCAUGGGAUUGUUCUGUUCCAAGAAGUCCUCUGCAGCAGACGAUCCUCCAUGUGAAGAAGAUGCACACUCAAAGACUAGCACGAUUGCAAGAGGUAAGCAAUCAGAUGCCUCAGGAAAGAAGAAGGGGAUGCCAAAGGCAAGUUCUUUUUAGAUUGUGCUCGGACACUAUUUCUCAGAAGAAAUUGAAAGAAGAGGCACCUGGUGCUAUGCAACAAUUGAUGGCACCAGUUCAGACCACAGCUGAUCUGUACAAUGAGAUGUAUGACUUGGGUAAAUUUGAGCAAUAUUAUCAGCAGAAACUCAAGGAGCAGAUUGGACUUCCAGUUCAUAGAGCAAGAGUUGAAAAACCAAAAGAAGCAUGCGAAAAGCUUAAAGAAAAAGUCACUGUGGCCUAAGAGUUUGGAAGAGUUGCAGAUUGUGGCAACACUUGUGGAUAUUGUUCAUUUUUACACUUGUGGAACUUCAGACUUAUCGGCCAUUGCGGAUCACAAAAGAGUUCUCUUCUAUGCUGAUGCAGCCUGUGAACUCUUCGGUGGGUGUGGAUGUCAACAGGAUGAGAAGUCUGGACAUUGCUUCUUUUUUUUAUUAGCUGUUCACUGAGCUUCUGUCUUUGGGAAUUGUGGUCAUGUUAAAUUGAGAAUUUUCAAACUAUACAUGCAACUUAUUGAACAUGAAUGACAGAUACAAGUUAGAUGAAAAA